CCUACGGGAGGCUGCAGUCGAGAAUCAUUCACAAUGGGGGAAACCCUGAUGGUGCGACGCCGCGUGGGGGAAUGAAGUUCUUCGGAUUGUAAACCCCUGUCAUGUGGGAGCAAAUUAAAAAGAUAGUACCACAAGAGGAAGAGACGGCUAACUCUGUGCCAGCAGCCGCGGUAAUACAGAGGUCUCAAGCGUUGUUCGGAAUCACUGGGCGUAAAGCGUGCGUAGGCUGUUUCGUAAGUCGUGUGUGAAAGGCGCGGGCUCAACCCGCGGACGGCACAUGAUACUGCGAGACUAGAGUAAGGGAGGGGGAACCGGAAUUCUCGGUGUAGCAGUGAAAUGCGUAGAUAUCGAGAGGAACACUCGUGGCGAAGGCGGGUUCCUGGACAUUAACUGACGCUGAGGCACGAAGGCCAGGGGAGCGAAAGGGAUUAGAUACCCCAGUAGUC
rnacentral:rRNA from 1 species